GCUGGGUGCGGUGGCUCACACCUGUAAUCCCAGCACUUUGGGAGGCCGAGGCGGGUGGAUCACCUGAGGUCAGGAGUUUGAGACCCGCCUGACCAACAUGGUGAAACCCCACCUCUA
rnacentral:sRNA from 1 species